GACGAACGCUGGCGGCGUGCUUAACACAUGCAAGUCGAACGGAAAGGCCCUGCCUUUGUGGGGUGCUCGAGUGGCGAACGGGUGAGUAACACGUGAGUAACCUGCCCUUGACUUUGGGAUAACUUCAGGAAACUGGGGCUAAUACCGGAUAGGAGCUCCUGCUGCAUGGUGGGGGUUGGAAAGUUUCGGCGGUUGGGGAUGGACUCGCGGCUUAUCAGCUUGUUGGUGGGGUAGUGGCCUACCAAGGCUUUGACGGGUAGCCGGCCUGAGAGGGUGACCGGCCACAUUGGGACUGAGAUACGGCCCAGACUCCUACGGGAGGCAGCAGUGGGGAAUAUUGCACAAUGGGCGGAAGCCUGAUGCAGCAACGCCGCGUGCGGGAUGACGGCCUUCGGGUUGUAAACCGCUUUCGCCUGUGACGAAGCGUGAGUGACGGUAAUGGGUAAAGAAGCACCGGCUAACUACGUG
rnacentral:rRNA from 1 species